GGAGCACAGUGUGAGCAUGGCGAGGCCAGCAGCAUGGCCUGCCAAGAGAUCGGAGGGGAAAAAGGUUGCUUAGGAGGAGCUGGCCUUUGCAAUCUGGUUCACUUCGUGCCUCCCUCCCGACCACGUGGUACCCUCAGCCAAAUGUCAUUAGAGGUCUGUCCACAUGCUGAUCACCUCAUUUGCCUUCAAAGCUGGAGUGAGAUCCCUCUCGGUGAGCAGUGGUUAGUUCAGCUACACCAACACCUCCAAUGGCUAUUUGGGAAUUAGUUGGUGAGAAGUGGCUGAUGGACUCAGAGGGGAGUUUGGGUUGAGAAGUGGGGAGCAAGAUGGAGAUUUUGGCUGCCACCGGGUAAUUCCCACCUGCAGAAAGGCAAGGAGUUGGCCGGUGGGAGGGAAAUUAUAACCCAGAAUCAAAGCAAUCUCUAUCCUCAGUUCACAGUCUUCAGCAUUUGGUCUGGCUCCAACGCUCUGUCUGCAGGGUUGGAGAGGUCUUAUGUCCCUCUGACCCAGUGGUGAACAGAAGCAAACACUGCGAUGCGGUGUGGCUGCAGGAAAACAGACAGCUUCAUCCGGGACAGCCAGCGAGAAAGGCAGAUCGCUGCCAAGCAUCUGGAAACGGAACCCAGAGAAAAUCCAAUUAAAAAUCAGGUGGUGCUGCAAUUGGAACAAGCUACGAAGUGAUGGAUUAUUCAUUUCAGCACGUCUUGAGGCCAAGAGAAGGGAGAAUCUACUGGAUCCUUCCAGCACUGUACCUGCUGUGAUGUACACUCCUACCCAGGCUCUGCGAGCCAGCUGAGUUCAUGGCAAAGGCAUGGCCAAGAGGUUGCCCAGUGCAAGGUUCCCAUCCAUCACUGCAGGACGACCCACAAGCCCUGCUAGAGUCCCCAGGUUUCCUUCAGCCCCAGCUCUGGGCUGCGUGGAGCCUUGGCACCAUCCUCCCGUCGUUCUGGCCACCACGCUCAGAUCUCUUGGCUUACUGCCGGCUUCUGCAAUAUCUUCAUUGGCAGUGUCCGUGCAGGGGUUCUCUCCUCUCAUUUCCUCUCCGAUCUCACGAGCACAUCCCUCCCUCCUCUGGCAGCUCAGUGCAAUGGGUCCCUUCCUGUAUUUUUUAGCUGUUUCCACUCAAAUCCUGAUAGCAGUGGGAAGCCACUGCUCACCUGCAUGUGGCCAAGCCAGUGCCAACCACUCCAGUCU
ensembl:lncRNA